GGGUGAGUAACACGUGGGUAACCUGCCCUAAAGUCUGGGAUACCACUUGGAAACAGGUGCUAAUACCGGAUAACAACAAUAGCUGCAUGGCUAUUGCUUAAAAGGCGGCGAAAGCUGUCGCUAAAGGAUGGACCCGCGGUGCAUUAGCUAGUUGGUAAGGUAAUGGCUUACCAAGGCGACGAUGCAUAGCCGAGUUGAGAGACUGAUCGGCCACAUUGGGACUGAGACACGGCCCAAACUCCUACGGGAGGCAGCAGUAGGGAAUCUUCCACAAUGGGCGAAAGCCUGAUGGAGCAACGCCGCGUGAGUGAAGAAGGUUUUCGGAUCGUAAAGCUCUGUUGUUGGUGAAGAAGGAUAGAGGUAGUAACUGGCCCCUAUUUGACGGUAAUCAACCAGAAAGUCACGGCUAACUACGUGCCAGCAGCCGCGGUAAUACGUAGGUGGCAAGCGUUGUCCGGAUUUAUUGGGCGUAAAGCGAGCGCAGGCGGAAAGAUAAGUCUGAUGUGAAAGCCCCCGGCUUAACCGAGGAAUUGCAUCGGAAACUGUGUUUCUUGAGUGCAGAAGAGGAGAGUGGAACUCCAUGUGUAGCGGUGGAAUGCGUAGAUAUAUGGAAGAACACCAGUGGCGAAGGCGGCUCUCUGGUCUGUAACUGACGCCGAGGCUCGAAAGCAUGGGUAGCGAACAGGAUUAGAUACCCUGGUAGUCCAUGCCGUAAACGAUG
rnacentral:rRNA from 1 species